rnacentral:rRNA from 1 species
AGAGUUUGAUUCUGGCUCAGGAUGAACGCUGGCGGCGUGCUUAACACAUGCAAGUCGAGCGAAGCAAUCUAAGUGAAGUUUUCGGAUGGAUCUUAGAUUGACUGAGCGGCGGACGGGUGAGUAACGCGUGGAUAACCUGCCUCACACAGGGGGAUAACAGUUAGAAAUGACUGCUAAUACCGCAUAAGCGCACGGCAUCGCAUGAUGCAGUGUGAAAAACUCCGGUGGUGUGAGAUGGAUCCGCGUCUGAUUAGGUAGUUGGUGGGGUAACGGCCCACCAAGCCGACGAUCAGUAGCCGACCUGAGAGGGUGACCUGCCACAUUGGGACUGAGACACGGCCCAAACUCCUACGGGAGGCAGCAGUGGGGAAUAUUGCACAAUGGGCGAAAGCCUGAUGCAGCGACGCCGCGUGAGUGAAGAAGUAUCUCGGUAUGUAAAGCUCUAUCAGCAGGGAAGAAAAUGACGGUACCUGACUAAGAAGCCCCGGCUAACUACGUGCCAGCAGCCGCGGUAAUACGUAGGGGGCAAGCGUUAUCCGGAUUUACUGGGUGUAAAGGGAGCGCAGACGGCGAUGCAAGUCUGGAGUGAAAGCCCGGGGCUCAACCCCGGGACUGCUUUGGAAACUGUAUGGCUAGAGUGCUGGAGAGGCAAGCGGAAUUCCUAGUGUAGCGGUGAAAUGCGUAGAUAUUAGGAAGAACACCAGUGGCGAAGGCGGCUUGCUGGACAGUAACUGACGUUCAGGCUCGAAAGCGUGGGGAGCAAACAGGAUUAGAUACCCUGGUAGUCCACGCCGUAAACG